GGAGAGGUGUAGUGGUUUGAGUACUGGACUAUGACUCUGGAAACCAGGGUUCAAAUCUCUGCUUGGCCA